CCUUAUCAAAAACUUUCUCGAGAUUUCUUUUUUUCUUUAUAAUUGAAGUAGUUUCAUCUCUUAAGCCUCUCUCUCACCUAUCUCUCUUCUGAUUUCUCCUUUCUCAAAACUCAGAAGAGAGAACUAGCAAUUGAUGGAUUUCAACUACUGCAACACAAACGAAUUAAGAUCAAGCUAGGCCUUAUUGUUGGUGGGGGUGAUCAAGCAAUGGCGUUGGUGCCUAUCAUAACCUUUCACGUUUCAAUUAAAGACAGAUCAGGCAAAAGGAGAUGGCCUCAAAUCAACUUCAUACCACAACAUUUUUAAUUUUAGAUCUGCAGGAAUUUAUAAAAUGCAAACAUCAUCAACUGAAGGAGAAGAAAGGAAAACCCUUAGAUCUACAAAAUUACCAUGAAGAACGAUGAAGGAAAGACUCCAGAUUUGCAAAAUCUCAAUGAAGGACCCAAAACAAAAUGAAAUCAAAUGGAGGACCCCAAAAUAAAUAUCCUAAUAUUUGAAUAAUUCAUUAAAUUGAUGAAUUAUAUUUAAUUACAAAUUCAAUUGUUGAUGGGACAUGACUGCAGAUGCAGUAUUGAAACUGGAGUGGGAUCCGCGCAUAUAUUUCACACGGAUUUGUUCGGAUGUGUGAAAAUAACAUUAGCGACGCCAGCAAUACAUACAAAUUUUAAAUCCGUGCUUGUACCGUGUGAAUUAAUCAAUUCACACGGAUUUCUAUGUGCAAUAGUUGUAAUUCACACAGAUUCUUCUCUGUCUCUAUUGGGGGGUUUUUCUAGUAGUG